CAAUAGCGUAUAUUAAAGUUGUUGCGGUUAAAAAGCUCGUAGUUGGAUUUCUGCCGAGGACGACCGGUCCGCCCUCCGGGUGAGUAUCUGGCUCGGCCUGGGCAUCUUCUUGGAGAACGUAACUGCACUUGGCUGUGUGGUGCGGUAUUCAGGACUUUUACUUUGAGGAAAUUAGAGUGUUUCAAGCAGGCACACGCCUUGAAUACAUUAGCAUGGAAUAAUAAGAUAGGACCUCGGUUCUAUUUUGUUGGUUUCUAGAGCUGAGGUAAUGAUUAAUAGGGAUAGUUGGGGGCAUUCGUAUUUAACUGUCAGAGGUGAAAUUCUUGGAUUUGUUAAAGACGGACUACUGCGAANGNAUUUGCNAAGGAUGUUUNCAUUG
rnacentral:rRNA from 1 species